UGGGAAGAGAGAUUGCAGACGCUUCAUUGCCGCGUCGUCUUUGGCGUCCGACAGAAAAAAUUGAUGAUUUGCUGCAGCAAUCAUGGGUAAGUACUGAAUCAUUCAAAGCUCUAGAAAAUAAAAAAAUAUUUUACAAAAAUCUGUGUACAAUUUUUGAAUUCUUCAUCGUUCAGGUAAUAAACGAAGUGCGCGGGAUUAGAAUGCUUGAUCACACGGAUAGUGAUAGUGAUGAUGACAGCUCCCCA
rnacentral:pre_miRNA from 1 species